GAUGAACGCUGACAGAAUGCUUAACACAUGCAAGUCGAUUCGAUUUACCUUCGGGUAUCGAGGAUGGCGGACGGGUGAGUAACGCGUAAGGAACUUGCCUCUUGGUCUGGGACAACUGUUGGAAACGACAGCUAAUACCGGAUAUUAUGAGAUUCUCGCAUGGGAAACUUAUGAAAGCUAUAUGCGCCAAGAGAGAGCCUUGCGUUCCAUUAGCUAGUUGGUGGGGUAACGGCCCACCAAGGCGAAGAUGGAUAGCCGGCCUGAGAGGGUGAACGGGCACAAGGGGACUGAGACACGGCCCUUACUCCUACGGGAGGCAGCAGUGGGGAAUAUUGGAAAAUGGGCCACAAGCCUGAGCCAGCAAUUCUGUGUGCACGAUGAAGGUCUUCGGAUUGUAAAGUGCUUUCAGUUGGGAAGAAGAAAGUGACGGUACCAACAGAAGAAGCGACGGCUAAAUACGUGCCAGCAGCCGCGGUAAUAC
rnacentral:rRNA from 1 species